rnacentral:misc_RNA from 1 species
UUGUGAGAUCAAUAAUAUUUUGAGAACUAGUUCUCUUUUCAAGGAUUGGUGCUUGAUAUGUUCUUUGUUAUUGUUAUUGUUCUACAUUACGCCAACUAUUCGUAUCAUAAACAUUACCUAUUGGCGUUUUCAAUUAAAAUAAUUGCUAUCGGGCCACUACUUAAUUGAGAAUUUUGUUAUAUGUUAACUAUACAAUUAGAAAGGCAAUCAGGGGGAAGACCACUUUGAAAUGAAAAAUGCGUACAUCAACCUAGUUCUCACAUAAUAUAUGAAUUAAUCAUUUACAUCCUCCCAUACACAUAUUUAUAAAAAAAAAAAAUAAUUUAAAUUAUUACAUUAAAUUAUUGAAAUUUCAUGUUAGUAAUUAAUUUAUAAAUACAUGUGAUGAAUUGGGUUGAUUCAAAAAUUUUUCAUAUCGGAUUCAAUGAGAUAAUCUAAACCCAUAUGCUUUUAAUUAAGAAGAAAAUAUAGCCUGCACAAGAUUUCAUACUUAAUUAAUUUAUUAAUUAUACCUCAUUAUUAAUUUGUUCCGCUUGGGAUUUUGAUGGUUUGACUUAAAAAAAAAAA